rnacentral:rRNA from 1 species
UGACCGCGUAUGAAAGUACGUUUCACCUCGGGUGACAGGGAGACAGGUGGCGCAUGGUUGUCGGUCAGCUCGUGUCGUGAGAUGUUGGGUUAAGUCCCGCAACGAGCGCAACCCCUACGUUUAGUUGCUAACAGGUGAAGCUGAGCACUCUAGACGAACUGCCGUUGACAAAACGGAGGAAGGUGGGGAUGACGUCAAAUCAUCAUGCCCCUUAUGUUCUGGGCUACACACGUGCUACAAUGGCCGGUACAGACGGAGGCGAAGCCGCGAGGCGGAGCAAAUCCGAAAAAGCCGGUCUCAGUUCGGAUUGCAGGCUGCAAUUCGCCUGCAUGAAGUCGGAAUCGCUAGUAAUCGCAGGUCAGCAUACUGCGGUGAAUACGUUCCCGGGCCUU